AGCUCUGGGCAGGCCUCGCCGAUGUGGAAGCAGACCUUGUCGUCCACCACCGUGCAGUCACUAAAGUCCAGGUGGAGGAGGCGAGGUGAUCGCCCAAGGAGGCUGGCAAUGGUCGAGGGC
rnacentral:SRP_RNA from 11 species